rnacentral:rRNA from 1 species
AUUGAACGCUGGCGGAAUGCUUUACACAUGCAAGUCGAACGAUGAACCUUAGCUUGCUAAGGGGAUUAGUGGCGAACGGGUGAGUAAUAUAUCGGAACGUGCCUUGUAAUGGGGGAUAACUAGUCGAAAGAUUAGCUAAUACCGCAUACGCCCUGAGGGGGAAAGUAGGGGAUCUUCGGACCUUACGUUAUAAGAGCGGCCGAUAUCUGAUUAGCUAGUUGGUGGGGUAAUGGCCUACCAAGGCGACGAUCAGUAGCUGGUCUGAGAGGACGACCAGCCACACUGGAACUGAGACACGGUCCAGACUCCUACGGGAGGCAGCAGUGGGGAAUUUUGGACAAUGGGCGCAAGCCUGAUCCAACCAUUCCGCGUGAGUGAAGAAGGCCUUCGGGUUGUAAAGCUCUUUCGCAAGGGAAGAAAACUUACCAUCGAAUAAAUGGUGAGGCUGACGGUACCUUGAUAAGAAGCACCGGCUAACUACGUG